GACGGGGGGAGCAAGCGUUGUUCGGAUUUACUGGGCGUAAAGGGCGCGUAGGCGGCCACUGCAAGUCAAUUGUGAAAUCUCCGGGCUUAACUCGGAAAGGUCAACUGAUACUGCAGGGCUAGAGUGCGGAAGGGGCAACUGGAAUUCUCGGUGUAGCGGUGAAAUGCGUAGAUAUCGAGAGGAACACCUGCGGCGAAGGCGGGUUGCUGGGCCGACACUGACGCUGAGUGUGCGAAAGCUAGGGGAGCGAACGGG
rnacentral:rRNA from 1 species